rnacentral:rRNA from 1 species
CCUACGGGGCGCAGCAGUGAGGAAUAUUGGUCAAUGGACGAGAGUCUGAACCAGCCAAGUAGCGUGAAGGAUGACUGCCCUAUGGGUUGUAAACUUCUUUUAUAUGGGAAUAAACUGUUCCACGUGUGGGAUUUUGUAUGUACCAUAUGAAUAAGGCUCGGCUAACUCCGUGCCAGCAGCCGCGGUAAGACGGAGGAUCCGAACGUUAUCCGUAUUUUUUGGGUUUAAAGGGAGCGUAGGUGGAUUGUUAAGUCAGUUGUGACAGUUUGCGGCUCAACCGUAAAAUUGCAGUUGAAACUGGCAGUCUUGAGUACAGGAGAGGUAGGCGGAAUUCGUGGUGUAGCGGUGAAAUGCUUAGAUAUCACGAAGAACUCCGAUUGCGAAGGCAGCUCACUGGACUGCAACUGACACUGAGGCUCGAAAGUGUGGGUAUCAAACAGGAUUAGAUACCCGAGUAGUC